rnacentral:rRNA from 1 species
AUUGAACGCUAGCGGGAUGCCUUACACAUGCAAGUCGAACGGAGUGGCGAACGGGUGAGUAAUGUAUCGGAACGUGCCCAGUAGCGGGGGAUCACUACGCGAAAGCGUAGCUAAUACCGCAUACUAUUGGCGCUGCCGAUAUCGGCUUAGCUAGUUGGUGGGGUAACGGCUCACCAUGGCGACGAUCCGUAGCUGGUUUGAGAGGACGACCAGCCACACUGGGACGUAUACACGGCCCAGACUCCUACGGGAGGCAGCAGUGGGGAAUUUUUGACAAUGGGGGAAACCCUUAUCCAGCCAUCCCGCGUGUGCGAUGAAGGCGUUCGGGUUGUAAAGCACUUUUGGCAGGAAAGCGGUACCUGCAGAAUAAGCACCGGCUAACUACGUGCCAGCAGCCGCGGUAAUUC